AUACAAAAGGCUAUUACAAUUGCUAACUGUUACAAUACAAACAUAUUACUUACAAGGCCCCAGCCAAAUGGCUGGGGCUAAGUCAGAGCUGGUACUACAUGAUCAGUCAGGUACAGGCAAACAGAGAGCUAGCUUCUCCUCACAUCUGGGUUUUUAUUCAGUGUAAGUAGGCUGGCCUGUGAUGUCACUGCCAGAAGCACAGGUCUUCCUACACACUCCCCCUAAUGGUGCCCCCAAAGCAUUACACUAAAUAUGCUUUACUGACAUCUAGUGGUGCGUCUAAAGCAUUAAGCUCAUUAUGCUUUUUUUUAUGACAAAAAGUAAUUAAUUAAUAAAUACCAUUACAGUAUGUUAAUCUAUUAAUGAUAUUUGCAAGCAUUUAGUUUAAUCUUAUAAACUCUGCUAUAAAUUAUUGCAAUGGAUUUUAUAUGUCUAUAUUUAUAUUUUUAUAUAAUAAAUAUCUAAAAGACAAAACUUUAUUGCGUCCAAGACAAUCCUUAAUUUUAUAUUAUAUUCUCAAUUAUUUAUAUGUUAAAUAGAGGAUCUCUUCCUAACUAUAUAAAAUUAUGGCAAAGAUAUCUGUAUGGUUAGCCCUGCUAAGUUCUAUGCUUUAAGACAGGGGUCCUCAAACUCCGGCCCCCCAGAUGUUGCUGAACUACAACUCCCA